rnacentral:rRNA from 1 species
GAUGAACGCUGGCGGCGUGCCUAAUACAUGCAAGUCGAGCGAACGGACGAGAAGCUUGCUUCUCUGAUGUUAGCGGCGGACGGGUGAGUAACACGUGGAUAACCUACCUAUAAGACUGGGAUAACUUCGGGAAACCGGAGCUAAUACCGGAUAAUAUUUUGAACCGCAUGGUUCAAAAGUGAAAGACGGUCUUGCUGUCACUUAUAGAUGGAUCCGCGCUGCAUUAGCUAGUUGGUAAGGUAACGGCUUACCAAGGCAACGAUGCAUAGCCGACCUGAGAGGGUGAUCGGCCACACUGGAACUGAGACACGGUCCAGACUCCUACGGGAGGCAGCAGUAGGGAAACUUCCGCAAUGGGCGAAAGCCUGACGGAGCAACGCCGCGUGAGUGAUGAAGGUCUUCGGAUCGUAAAACUCUGUUAUUAGGGAAGAACAUAUGUGUAAGUAACUGUGCACAUCUUGACGGUACCUAAUCAGAAAGCCACGGCUAACUACGUG